rnacentral:rRNA from 1 species
UACGAAGGUUUCUUAGUGGCGAACGGGUGCGUAACGCGUUGGUGACCUGCCCAGAAGUGUGGGAUAACAGUUCGAAAGGACUGCUAAUACCGCAUGUGGUCAUCGGGUUUAAAAACCGAUGAUUAAAGCAUUAAUGCGCUUCUGGAGGGACCUGCGUCCCAUCAGCUAGUUGGUGAGGUAACGGCCCACCAAGGCUACGACGGGUAGGGGACCUGAGAGGGUGGUCCCCCACACUGGCACUGAAACACGGGCCAGACACCUACGGGUGGCAGCAGUAGGGAAUAUUGGUCAAUGGGCGAAAGCCUGAACCAGCAACGCCGCGUGCACGAUGAAGGUCUUCGGAUCGUAAAGUGCUUUUCUGAUAGAUGAGAAAGGACAGUAUCUCAGGAAUAAGUCUCGGCUAACUACGUGCCAGCAGCCGCGGUAAAACGUACGAGGCAAGCGUUAUCCGGAUUUACUGGGCGUAAAGCGCGUGCAGGUGGUUCGGUAAGUUGGAUGUGAAAGCUCCUGGCUCAACUGGGAGAGGUCGUUCACUACUACCGGACUUGAGAGCAGUAGAGGGAUGUGGAAUUCCCGGUGUAGAGGUGAAAUGCGUAGAUAUCGGGAGGAACAACAGUGGCGAAAGCGGCAUCCUGGACUGUUUCUG